CGUCUAGGCGGUUCGGUAAGUGGGAUGUGAAAUGCCCGGGCUCACCCCGGGACCUGCAUCCCAAACUGCUGAGCUUGAGUACAGGAGAGGGUGGGGGAAUUCCAGGUGUAGCGGUGAAAUGCGUAGAUAUCUGGAGGAACACCGGUGGCGAAGGCGCCCACCUGGCCUGUUACUGACGCUGAAGCACGAAAGCUAGGGGAAGGCAAACG
rnacentral:rRNA from 1 species